rnacentral:misc_RNA from 1 species
GAUGAAGAACGCAGCAAAAUGCGAUAAGUAAUGUGAAUUGCAGAAUUCAGUGAAUCAUCGAGUCUUUGAACGCACAUUGCGCCCCCUGGUAUUCCGGGGGGCAUGCCUGUCCGAGCGUCAUUGCUGCCCUCAAGCACGGCUUGUGUGUUGGGCCGCCGUCCCCGGUUUCACCCGGGGACGGGCCCGAAAGGCAGCGGCGGCACCGCGUCCGAUCCUCGAGCGUAUGGGGCUUUGUCACCCGCUCUGUAGGCCCGGCCGGCGCCAGCCGACACCCAACUUUAUUUCUAAGGUUGACCUCGGAUCAGGUAGGGAUACCCGCUGAACUUAAGCAUAUCAAUAAGCGGAGGA